rnacentral:rRNA from 1 species
UACGUAGGGUGCGAGCGUUGUCCGGAAUUAUUGGGCGUAAAGGACUCGUAGGCGGUCUGUCGCGUCGGGAGUGAAAACUCAGGGCUUAACCCUGAGCCUGCUUCCGAUACGGGCAGACUAGAGGUAUGCAGGGGAGAACGGAAUUCCUGGUGUAGUGGUGAAAUGCGUAGAUAUCGGGAGGAACACCAGUGGGGGAGGCGACUUCCUGGCCUGUUCUUGACGCUGAGGCGCGAAAGCUAGGGGAGCAAACGGG